AGAGUUUGAUCAUGGCUCAGGACGAACGCUGGCGGCGUGCUUAACACAUGCAAGUCGAACGGAAAGGCCCUUCGGGGUACUCGAGUGGCGAACGGGUGAGUAACACGUGGGUGAUCUGCCCUGCACUCUGGGAUAAGCCUGGGAAACUGGGUCUAAUACCGGAUAGGACCGCAUGCUUCAUGGUGUGUGGUGCAAAGCUUUUGCGGUGUGGGAUGAGCCCGCGGCCUAUCAGCUUGUUGGUGGGGUAAUGGCCUACCAAGGCGACGACGGGUAGCCGGCCUGAGAGGGUGACCGGCCACACUGGGACUGAGAUACGGCCCAGACUCCUACGGGAGGCAGCAGUGGGGAAUAUUGCGCAAUGGGCGCAAGCCUGAUGCAGCGACGCCGCGUGAGGGAUGACGGCCUUCGGGUUGUAAACCUCUUUCAGUAGGGACGAAGCGAAAGUGACGGUACCUACAGAAGAAGGACCGGCCAACUACGUGCCAGCAGCCGCGGUAAUACGUAGGGUCCGAGCGUUGUCCGGAAUUACUGGGCGUAAAGAGCUCGUAGGUGGUUUGUCGCGUUGUUCGUGAAAACUCACAGCUUAACUGUGGGCGUGCGGGCGAUACGGGCAGACUAGAGUACUGCAGGGGAGACUGGAAUUCCUGGUGUAGCGGUGGAAUGCGCAGAUAUCAGGAGGAACACCGGUGGCGAAGGCGGGUCUCUGGGCAGUAACUGACGCUGAGGAGCGAAAGCGUGGGUAGCGAACAGGAUUAGAUACCCUGGUAGUCCAA
rnacentral:rRNA from 1 species